GAAGAGCCAUACCUCAGUGGCAGGGCAUAAGCUUUGCGUGCAGAAGGCCCUGGGUUCAAACCCCAGCAUCUUCA